CUCGCUAGACAAAACACUGUGGUUUCUCCCAGAUGAGUCACCCAUGGGAACCUCCUUUUGAAGUCCCUGCUAAUAUGCAGCCUUGGAGCAGGGAUGUACACAUCAAAGAUGGUAAAAAGAUCACUGGGGUCGGGGCCUGUUCCCGAGGGAGCCGUAGAUCCUCCGCCUCGGGCUCGUCACAGUCAUGAGAGAAGAAAAAGGAUUCUGCUAGUCUGUGUGACACUGACUCCGAAUGGGAGCCCCCAGUGCCAAGGUGUCAAUCCCCCACUGAAGCUGGUUCAUCCUACACAAGGAAAUGGCUAAGAGCUGUGGAAAGCCCCCCUCUCACAGCUAGCCUUCAGAGAGCUGCUCAUCAAGGAGCUUGCUGGCUACAGAACCACAGCACCACUGCACCAUGUUCUGGCCCCUCUACCCCUGUCCCUUCUGCUCCUGCCACAAGUGGUGUUCAUCUGCCCAAAUUUAUUUCUGCAGGCAUGGAUGUGCCUCAGGGCCAAAAGGGC
ensembl:lncRNA